rnacentral:tmRNA from 2 species
GGGGAUGUAAAGGUUUCGACGGGGAGAGUGAAGCGAGAGCAGCGGGUCGUGUUCGAGGGACACACGUAAAACGCCUUCAAAAAAAUAGCUAACAACAACAAAUUAGCUGUCGCUGCCUAAUUAAAGGCGGCUGUCCUGCCUGUUCCAGUGCCGUACAGGGCCAGGGCAUCAUUUAGGCACUGAACGUGAACGGCCUUAAGCUUUGCGGGCCGUCAUGACCUCAUGAAGCUACCGAAGCGGCGGCGCGUGCGCCCGCCUGCCGCCGGGGGAACCCUGUAGGCGUAUCUGCACCCGGAGAUACUAGCGCAGAUCUCUUUUCGGACACGGGUUCGACUCCCGUCAUCUCCACCA